GUGAGGAAUAUUGGUCAAUGGGCGAGAGCCUGAACCAGCCAAGUCGCGUGAAGGAAGAAGGAUCUAUGGUUCGUAAACUUCUUUUGCAGGGGAAUAAAGUGCAGGACGUGUCCUGUUUUGUAUGUACCCUGAGAAUAAGGAUCGGCUAACUCCGUGCCAGCAGCCGCGGUAAUACGGAGGAUCCGAGCGUUAUCCGGAUUUAUUGGGUUUAAAGGGUGCGUAGGUGGUUUGAUAAGUCAGCGGUGAAAGUUUGCAGCUUAACUGUAAAAAUGCCGUUGAAACUGUCGGACUUGAGUGUAAAUGAGGUAGGCGGAAUGCGUGGUGUAGCGGUCAAAUGCAUAGAUAUCACGCAGAACGCCGAUUGCGAAGGCAGCUUACUAAGCUACAACUGACACUGAAGCACGAAAGCGUGGGGAUCAAACAGGAUUAGAUACCCGAGUAGUCC
rnacentral:rRNA from 1 species